AGGACGUCGUCCGGCGCCUCCUCCCCCGCCCCUCACCACCUAUGGCCUCGGCCCAUCGCCUCCUCUUCCCAUUAUGGUGUCGCCCUGCCACAUCCUCUCCCCAUCAUGGGUUCGCCUCACCGCCAACUCUUUCGCCAUCGUGUCUUAGCGCAGAUCUCGGUGCGAGCUGUUGGACACGAUGAGGGAGUGGGCAUCUUAGAGCAAACCAGAUCCUCUGCGUCUAUGCGAGCACCUCAGGCUUAGGCGGCGCGAGAUGGAGCGGAUUCGCGCCCUCGUCAAGGGACAUGGAGCUCGGGACGCUGCGCUCCCUUCUGCUUCUUCUUCUCGGAAUGUCGUGCCGCCAUGGAAGGUCUCCCUUUUCCUCCCUCCCCCUCUUCCCCUUUCUCGUUUCGAUUUGGUACGGUGCUUCCAUCCCUGAUGUGGUUCCUCGCGCCUCUCUUUCGAUAUGUAGUUGAGAUGGUAGAUCUAGCAUCCAUACUCGCUUUACAUACAACAUAACACACGAGAUUUUUUGAUAUCAGCUAGCUCUAAUUUGUCAGUAUCAGCUAGCUCUAAUUUUUCAGUAUCAAUGAUGCUUGGGUAUAUUCAUUUGUGGAUUUAGAUUCUGGGUGGCUUAAUUUGUCACUAUCAGCUAGCUCUAAUUGAUGUUGAGUUGUUGCUUUUUGUGGCAGUUGCAUGAUUUGAGUGGUAUUCUCACGUUGUAAUGUUGCAUUAUUACUGACAAUUAGGGUCUGUUCGGUUUCCCUCCCAGAGCGAACGGAGUUGUAGUAGAAAAUGUUGGAGCGAUCAAACAGGUGCUCCACAGAUCCUUGGAUUUUAAGGAGCUUGUGGAUUGCCGAACAGGGCCUUGGUAACCGAGAGUUCCAGGGUCACAACCAAGUUAGUAUCUGCACAUUUUGUAUCAGAAAUGCAUGUGGCUCCAUCAAUUUACAUCUGAACUAUUUUAUGCUUAUGCCAUUCUAUGCACAACAGACAUGCCUUCAGCACAUCGCCAUUCAUUUGUGGAAUAUUGUUAGUGCAACACAUACACGUUUGCUAUCUAUCCGCUUCUUUCCAUGCAUGUGGUAACAUUUUUGUUGUUCAUAUCCACAAAUUUGUGAAGCAGUUUCUAUACUAUAUGCAACCUAGUAGUCACUAAUUGAUGAUGGUCCGCUAUGGAAGGUCCAUCUUUUGAUGGGAUCUAUAAUGCUUCGUUCUUAGACCGGGAUAUGGUUUAGAACUUCAUUCUCUUCAUACUUCAAAAUAUGAACCAAAAAUCGCUUCGUGAGUUCAAAAUCAUCCUACAUAUGUAUUAUAUAACAUUGUUAUUAAAAAACAUGCGUAACGUGUAUAGGAAUGAUCAUGGUGUCAAUACUUACCUUGGGUACCAGAAACUGUAACGUUCCAUCGUGCCAUGAAUGCAUUAAGUUGAAAACCAAAUAACCAAAGAGAGGACUGCAUGUAUGAGAUGUUACAUGUGAGUUGAAUGAAUCAGUUAAGAUUGUGAUGUGUUGACAAGAUUAUUACCCUAUUCGUAAAAAAGAGAGACAAAAUUAUUACCCGUAUGAGUUUGUGGGAACAACGGAAACUUUGCAUCCCCAUGUCAAGAUGUUGUCCUUGAAGGCAGGGUUUGCAAUUUGGAGAGCAAGGUUUAGAUCAUUAAACAUACUUUCAAGUAUAUGCUUUUCGAAAGUGGGUAUUGAAAGCGGGCCCAAAAUAGAGACAACUUUUUUAUGUUGGUCCAAGACGAACAAUAAAUAUAGCCCAAUAAUAUCAAAGGGCAACAAAACGUGCAAUGAUGCAUACAUUUAGAAACACAACAAUCAUUAUCAUUCAUUAAGACCUUAUAAACAAUGACUUCAAAUUCAAAUCUUACCAUAUCACAUUCUGAGAUAUGAUACUCAUUCCUAUCAGGCAAGCUAUCAAAUAGUCGUGCCAACAUAGCAAUGUCCAUGCCAUCACGAUGACUUGGAACUCGUGCAUAGUGGGACAUGGACUACAAUAAUAUAAUAAAACAUUAGUAUAAUGAAGCAAAAUGUAAUAUAUGAUUAUAAUAACUUACACAAAAUUGUGGAUCCAUAUAGUGUACUAGGAUGUCUCUAGUAAGCUGGACGUCGUGGCAUGCUAGUAUCCGCACAACCAUAUUAAAACAAUCAACAUCCCUGUACUCAUCAUUCUUUAAUAUGUUUUUUAGUUGUUUCAAUUUAGACUAAUAGGAUAAGGGUGAGAGCUUCUCACCCAUUCAUUCGUGUGAAAUGGGAAUUCUGUCAAUUAUAGUUAUACAAGAGUAAUAAUUUAUUAGAAACAAAAAUAAACUGGAAAAAUGUGUCUUACUGUAGAAAAGGGACAUCAUCAACCAUGCUGAUGAACAAGCAAAGUUCGUCUAUUAAGUCGUCAUUUGUUGGAGUGACAGACGACGAAAGGAUAUAUGAUUGCGAGUUGAGCUCAACUUGUGAUGAUGAGUUGGAUGCUUUUGGUUUGUUAGGAGGUCUUUCCACAAUCAUACCAUCGGUGGGAUCCGUGUUGGUUUCAUCAUCAUCGAAGUUCCGGUUUCUUAUAUCAUCAUCAUUCAAUUCCGAGUCGACUAAAAUGACCGCUAAUUUUGUUCUAAAAUAUGUGAUAUGAACCUAAAGUGAAGCAAUAAUAAUAAGACUUAGUUUUCAAAUAAUUAUACACCAUGAAAUAGAUAGUAUCAUGGUACGAUGCAAGAUAUACCUGUUCGGGGGUGUCGGACAAACUAUCUCCCGUGAAGUAUUCCAUGUAAUAUAACAUCCAGAGAUCACAAGAUGACCUGGAUGAUUGCAAAAAUUUGAUAUGAUUAAUAAAAAAGAUAUGAACAAAAUAUUAUUAGUAUCAUAAAAUGAUGAUGGCUGAACCACAUAGUCAUACUGGACAACCUCGAUAAAAGAAGAAUUGAACGAAUGUACCCUCAUAAGCAAAAAUGGACUGAGUUAUGUUAGGAGCCGUAUCCAUCCGUUUGAGGUCUGUUCUUAAUAUGUUCUUCUCUUUUCCAUGUUGUAACAUUUAGAUCAGUCCACUUAUCGGAUUUUAAUUCCAUGUGCUUGGAUGCAUAUUUGAAUAAAUCCUCCAGUCCUUGUAGCUGUUGCACCAACAAAUGAAAAAAGCAUAAGCAUCACAAGCAAGAAAUUGUCAAGAGAAAAACCUUCUUAUGAAAAGACUUCACUAUAGUACUAAAUACUAGCCGUAUCAUUGAGGUCCUGGUGGUUCAUUGAUGUGCCUAGCGAGUCGAGCACUUGAACACAUAGUUUUCUAGCAUUUAUAACACAUAGGUACCAAUGAACAUCGUUCAUGUUUAUUGGAAUGAAUAUCUGAAGAAAAAUAUUAUUUGAGAUGUACUCCUAUGUGGACGAAUUGGCCGUUCUUGCUCUAAUUCAUAGAAAUAUGUAGUAAAGUAAGACUAACCAUAUCAUUUUCGAAAUAUUUUUCAGCUCUCUUUAAUGCCAUACUGGUACUUCAUUUGUGUCAUCUGAAGGUAGGUUGUUACCGAGCUUUAUCAUCUUAGAGAUCCAUGCAUUCUCUAAGAACACACUUCCACCUGACCUUACUUGUAGAUGCUCAGCAGCAGUCAUGCAAUUUAUAUACGCGCCUAUGGCCUACAAUUUAAAAUAUACAUAAUAUAUUAGCUGACACAUACUCACAAUCAAAUAACGUAUUAUUGUCAUAAUGCAAUAUUAUUCUACUUACUUCAUCGCCAAUCCAUUGUCCGAUAGUUAAAAGAGAUAGUAAAUGUAUUUUUCUCAAUAUGCGUCGUCGAUGCUCACCAAAUGUCGCUCUUCGAUUGGUUCAGAUCUUAUAGUUUCUAUGGCCGACCAAACAUCGCUAGUGCACGCAUAAUCUGUCCUGAUGGCCAUGAUAACAUUUAAUUAUAAUGAACAAAAGAACAAUAGUUUAACAGUACAAGGACAUCGAAGGUUUUGUUCUGUGCCUUGUGGAGAAACAAUGUAGUCUUGUGCCUUCUUAGGCUUGUUAUGUCGUCGUAUAUGGUUCUUUAUAUGCACGGGCUGUCUUAGCUCGUUCUCUAUAGUUUCAAGUCCUUUCGUGCCGGGUGUUUGUACCAAUUCCUUGUCCUUAGGUGCCACCAUUUGUUGACUUGUUUCAUUGUUGGUUAAUUUCCGAGGACAAAAUUCAAAGAAUUAUCCCUAUGUAGGAUAUAACACAUAAAAAUUAUUUUGGAAGAUAUAGUUUGAAAAGCAAACUCACUUGUGUAUGUUCAGAAUCUUUGGCCUCUCUUUUUUCUAUGUUUUCUUCAAGAAGAGGUGUAUAUUCUAGGCUCUCCAUGCAAUUAUUUUCCUCCACUUCACUAUCGUUGAGUAUUUCACCUGAUUUGUCAUUGCUUAGUACGUGAUACACACGGUAAUAUAAUAUUAUAACAUAUAUUUUUUAUGUGAUAUUGUACUAAAAAAUUACAGUCUGAUUUGUGGCAUUAGAAUUAGAAUAGUAAUGCCAUGUGGAAAGAAAACUCGUCUUUGUUAAUUCGGGGAUUCUAUCUCCAUCCUUGGUUAUGACAUCUUCAAAAAGCAUGUUUUGUGGACCCUCCGUAAUGGAUUGUUGUGCGGCCUUUCCAGACUCCGGAUUUGUAUCCUUUUGUAUUGUUAUCACCUCUUCAAAUCUGCAUAUUUUCGGUAUCCUCCAUAAUAGAAUAUCCUUGUAUCACCUCUAUCGACUUAGGGUUGGUAUCCUCGUCUUUCUUUAUCACCUCUUCAACCUGCAUAUUAUUUGUAUCCUCAUCCUUUGCUACCUUGUUGACCUUCUCCUGAAAACCCAAGCAUAACACUUUUAGAAAGUUACCUUGUAUAGGAUGAAAAGAGAUAUAAUAUGUCUUUACCUUGUCAAUAGCAUGCCCAAUAGUACCGGAUCGGGUUGGAGAUUGACCAGCAUUUUGCACCGGGGACGGUGGCGCGGACAUGGAGGAUGAUGGUGCUUCACCAAGGGCGGGGGGUGCGGCGAGGGGGGAGACUUGUUGUGAACGUAUGUUGGGAUGCGACUGAGAGAUCGCGAGGGGGGAUGGAGGAGAGGUCGAAAGUAAUAGUAUCAGGAAAUAUAAUACUCCCUCCGUACCUAAAUAUAAGUCUUUUAAGAUAUUUCACUAGGUGUCUACAUACGGAGCAAAAUGAAUGAAUAUAUACUCUAAAGUAUGUCUAUAUACAUCCGUAUGUAGUCCAUUAGUUGAAUCUCUAGAAAGACUUAUAUUUAGGAACGGAGGGAGUAUAAGGAAGAUCCCCUAAAAAGGCAAUAUAAGGUAGAUGAUGAGAGAAAGGAAACUACUAUCGCCAUAAUUGGGGACUCCUCAUUGAUAUCAUCCCGGAUUUAUCUAAGGCCCCACAAUCUUAUUUUGUGCUCUCUUUUUCAUACCCCACGGGCACAAAAUUAUUUUAGUUAUUUUCGUAGUACAUUCUAUAUGCAGAAAUAUUGGGUUUGGCCCACCUUUAUUUUGUAACAGUGGGCUAUCUAAUUGAGAAAAGGCACACCCUUUAGAUAUUUGAGAAACUUAAUUUCUGUUUCAUUUGAAAGUAAGCUAGUGCAUUAUGGUUGACUCCUUAUACAUCACCUUGCGACUGCAGGGACUACCAACAGGUCUACCUGCUACGUGUUAGUGAUGGCCAAGCCAACCAAGGGGGAGAUUAGUGAAGAGGUGAAGGAGAAGCUGGAAUUGUAACAGUAGGCAUAUCUUAAACUGGUUUGAUGCAUGUUGGAAGACGUAUUCUCACCCACUCCGGUUAUCCGAAAUUUUAGCCUGUUACAUGAUUCAUUCUAGUAUCUGCAUGCCCAUAUAUUCUUUUCUGAAUACUUUAUGCUAUAUUGUUUUGAUUUCAAUAGUAAAAAGACAGCAUGUGAGCUCCUCUGCUAUAGAUCCGGGAACAAUGUAUGUGCACUAUGGUACUAAAAAUGCAUUUUAACUUCAAUAUAUUCCGCAAUAUCAUAGAUUUUUGCAGUUUUAAUUACAAAUAUAUCAAAGAUCAG
rnacentral:lncRNA from 1 species